UACGAAGGGGGCUAGCGUUGCUCGGAAUUACUGGGCGUAAAGCGCACGUAGGCGGCUCUUUAAGUCAGGGGUGAAAUCCUGGAGCUCAACUCCAGAACUGCCUUUGAUACUGAAGAUCUUGAGUUCGGGGAGAGGUGAGUGGAACUGCGAGUGUAGAGGUGAAAUUCGUAGAUAUUCGCAAGAACACCAGUGGCGAAGGCGGCUCACUGGCCCGAUACUGACGCUGAGGCACGAAAGCGUGGGGAGC
rnacentral:rRNA from 1 species